GCGCAGCAGGCGCGAAACUGGCCAAUGCGCGAAAGCGUGAGCCGGCUAAUCUGAGUGGUUCCCCAUCGGGAACCUAUUGCCAAGUGUACAAAGCUUGGCGAAUAAGGAGAGGGCAAGACUGGUGCCAGCCGCCGCGGGUAAAACCAGCUCGUUCGAAUCGUGGGCAUGAUUAUUUUGGGCUUAAAAGGUGUGUCGUAGCAGGACAGGAUAAGUCUCCUGUGAAAUGCCAGGUCUUAAGCCU
rnacentral:rRNA from 1 species